CGCCCUUAGAGUUUGAUCCUGGCUCAGGACGAACGCUGGCGGCGUGCUUAACACAUGCAAGUCGAACGGGGUGUUUAUUUCGGUAAACAUCAAGUGGCGAACGGGUGAGUAACGCGUAAGCAAUCUACCUUCAAGAUGGGGACAACACUUCGAAAGGGGUGCUAAUACCGAAUGAAUGUAAGAGUAUCGCAUGAGACACUUACUAAAGGAGGCCUCUGAAAAUGCUUCCGCUUGAAGAUGAGCUUGCGUCUGAUUAGCUAGUUGGUGAGGGUAAAGGCCCACCAAGGCGACGAUCAGUAGCCGGUCUGAGAGGAUGAACGGCCACAUUGGGACUGAGACACGGCCCAGACUCCUACGGGAGGCAGCAGUGGGGAAUCUUCCGCAAUGGGCGAAAGCCUGACGGAGCAACGCCGCGUGAACGAUGAAGGUCUUAGGAUCGUAAAGUUCUGUUGUUAGGGACGAAGGGCAAGGGUUAUAAUACAGCCUUUGUUUGACGGUACCUAACGAGGAAGCCACGGCUAACUACGUGCCAGCAGCCGCGGUAAUACGUAGGCGGCAAGCGUUGUCCGGAAUUAUUGGGCGUAAAGGGAGCGCAGGCGGGAAACUAAGCGGAUCUUAAAAGUGCGGGGCUCAACCCCGUGAUGGGGUCCGAACUGGUUUUCUUGAGUGCAGGAGAGGAAAGCGGAAUUCCCAGUGUAGCGGUGAAAUGCGUAGAUAUUGGGAAGAACACCAGUGGCGAAGGCGGCUUUCUGGACUGUAACUGACGCUGAGGCUCGAAAGCUAGGGUAGCGAACGGGAUUAGAUACCCCGGUAGUCCUAGCCGUAAACGAUGGAUACUAGGUGUGGGAGGUAUCGACCCCUUCCGUGCCGGAGUUAACGCAAUAAGUAUCCCGCCUGGGGAGUACGGCCGCAAGGUUGAAA
rnacentral:rRNA from 1 species